rnacentral:rRNA from 1 species
GAUGAACGCUGGCGGCGUGCUUAACACAUGCAAGUCGAACGAAGCAUUUGCGACAGAUUUUUUCGGAAUGAAGUUGCUUAUGACUGAGUGGCGGACGGGUGAGUAACGCGUGGGUAACCUGCCUUGUACUGGGGGAUAGCAGCUGGAAACGGCUGGUAAUACCGCAUAAGCGCACAAUGUUGCAUGACAUGGUGUGAAAAACUCCGGUGGUAUACGAUGGACCCGCGUCUGAUUAGCUAGUUGGUGAGAUAACAGCCCACCAAGGCGACGAUCAGUAGCCGACCUGAGAGGGUGACCGGCCACAUUGGGACUGAGACACGGCCCAGAAUCCUACGGGAGGCAGCAGUGGGGAAUAGUGCACAAUGGAGGAAACUCUGAUGCAGCGACGACGCGUGAGUGAAGAAGUAAUUCGUUAUGUAAAGCUCUAUCAGCAGGGAAGAUAGUGACGGUACCUGACUAAGAAGCUCCGGCUAAAUACGUG